UGGGGAAUCUUGGACAAUGGGGGCAACCCUGAUCCAGCCAUGCCGCGUGAGUGAUGAAGGCCUUAGGGUCGUAAAGCUCUUUCGCCUGUGAAGAUAAUGACGGUAGCAGGUAAAGAAACCCCGGCUAACUCCGUGCCAGCAGCCGCGGUAAUACGGAGGGGGUUAGCGUUGUUCGGAAUUAUUGGGCGUAAAGAGCUCGUAGGCGGUUCGGUAAGUCGGGUGUGAAAACUCUGGGCUCAACCCAGAGAGGCCACUCGAUACUGCUGUGACUAGAGUGCGGUAGGGGAGCGGGGAAUUCCUGGUGUAGCGGUGAAAUGCGCAGAUAUCAGGAGGAACACCAGUGGCGAAGGCGCCGCUCUGGGCCGUAACUGACGCUGAGGAGCGAAAGCAUGGGUAGCAAACAGGAUUAGAUACCCUGGUAGUCCAUGCCGUAAACGAUGAAUGCCAGUCGUCGGGUAGCAUGCUAUUCGGUGACACACCUAACGGAUUAAGCAUUCCGCCUGGGGAGUACGGUCGCAGAUUAAAACUCAAAUGAAUUG
rnacentral:rRNA from 1 species